GGAUAUGGAGGUUGACAAUGUUAAGGGAACAGAUGAAGGAACAGAAGAAGAUGCUGGUGCUAAAAAUGAUAAUAAAGAUGAGAAGGAGAGUGCAGAAAAUAAUGACAUAGUAGCAAACGAUUCUACUGAUGAACAUGAUGAAACAAUUUAUGAAAUUAAUAAUGAAGAGGUCAGUUCAGAGUUUCCAUCAAUGAAGUGUGAGAAAUUAGAUCUACAUUCUUUUGUUAAUAUCAUCUGAAAAAUGUUCUUUUGUUAAUCAUAUUGGUGUUGGAUUCCCAAAGAUCAAAUUAACUUUCCAAAUUAGAAAUGUAGAGAAAAAAUAAAGAAAGCAUGGCGAACAAUGAGCCAGAACCUUCCUUAUUGUUGGUCCAUCGUGUCACCAUCUUGAGAAAGCUCCGGGAAACGCCAGCGACUACUCUUAGUACAUCAAAUUAUUAUGUGGGAUCACUAUUAAGUAGAAGUAAAAGUAAUAUAGGAGUAAAUAUAUAAGAAUGGCAUUUACAGAGACCAAAGAACAAUGCAGCAAUUAUUUGUUAAUAGCCUCUAAUUAGUCAUUACCCAUACUAAAAGCACUGCUACAUUUUACUCAUUUUGCAGGUUGAACCUGGUUUGGCAUCCUCUGGUCAAGAAGCAUCUGAACCGGCUCCUUCAAAUGAUGCUAUACUAGAGAAUGUAAGAUCUAAUUGACUGAAUAUUCCUCUAAAACAAUUGACUGAACACUGCCAAUGAUGUUUUGAAAGCAAUAUGUGGUAACCAUUCCAAACUCCAAAGGUGCAUUUUUUUUGGAGUCGGUUUUCCUUUCUUUUUUAAAAGAAAUAUAAAGAGACUCCCAUAAGAAAAUUUUAAAGUGAUAGACAUAAUAAUAUUGGUAUACAGGUAAAAACAAAAUAACAAGAAAACAAAGAGUGGGGUUUAGUUUUGCAGCCCGUACAAAAAAAAAAUCUUCGCUGCAUCACCACAUGCAACUUCAGGGCCCGUUUGGUUCCCUUUGCUUAUUUUUAAGCAAGUGUCACAUCAAUAUUUAGAUACUAAUUAGGAGUAUUAAACGUAGACUAUUUACAAAACUCAUUACAUAAGUGGAGGCUAAACAGCGAGACGAAUAUAUUAAGCCUAAUUAAUCCAUCAUUAGCAAAUGUUUACUGUAGCAACACAUUGUCAAAUCAUGGACUAAUUAGGCUUAAUAGAUUCGUCUCGCCGUUUAGCCUCCACUUAUGUAAUCGGUUUUGUAAAUAGUCUACGUUUAAUACUCCUAAUUAGUAUCUAAACAUUCGAUGUGACGGGUGCUUAAAUUUAAGCAAGUGAACCAAACCAGGCCUCAGUGGCAUUCAUCACUAAAUUUUUUGUAGUUCCAAUGGUCAGAUGGCUCUUCAAUUAGGUCAUCAUGCAUCUGCAGUUCGAGAAACAUCCAUAACAGUAAUUCUGACACCAUAAUAAUCUCAGGAGCUACUAUAUUUGCUGUGCAGGAUCCUGCAGCUGUUACUCAGAAUGUUGAAUCAGGAGAGCAUAGGGAGGAUAAAGAAUGCACAGACAAGGUUAAUGAUGAUGUCCACACCAUUCAAGCAUCGGAGAAAGAGAUUGCAGGUGAAAUAAAUGAGAAUAAAGAAAUUCAAAAUGAAGACAAUGCUAUCCAUCAUGAUGAAUCACAGACAAAAUCUGAAAAGGAUGAGGCGCCUCAACUGCAUGCCAGUGAACCAUGCGACAUGGAUGCCAAAAUUGAUGAUACAACAACUCCAGGCGAAGAAAUAAUCGAUGGUAAUGCAAGUAUAAAGCCCAGAGAAAUUGAAGAGAUUGGAGAAAACAAGGGACUCGACUCCACUUCCAAACCUUUUGUAGAAUCAUCCAUACAGAACAAUGUUGAGCAGGACUUAAGCAGACAUCACAAGGUCAGUACUAAUAUCCUUAACAUGUACCAGUCUUAUACGGGUCCAAAUUCGUUUUUCUUGUCAAAUCUUCUCUUAGUAAAAUUCUAUGCCAUUUUUUUCCUGCAAUCAGGUUGAAGACGAAAAUCUUUCAAUGAUGGAGCAAAAUGAUGUAGAUAUUGAAGCUAUGCAAGAAAAAGCUGAUGAAUCUGCCUCAGAUAUAAAUCUAACCAAGCAAUGUCAGGAAGAAAUUAGUGAAGAUGAUGUUCAGCAACUUGAAAUAGAAGAAAGUUCAUUUGACAAAAUUGAUGAAACCAUUUCACAUGAGAAAACAGAGACAAGCACCACUGAAGCGGUAAUAGUCAAUGACACCAUCACCAAUAAGGUCAGUAAGUGAGAGAAAUCAAUGAAUAUUGGAGUUACAUUCUGUAUUGCUAAUCUAAUUUUCCAUUUCCCAUGUAGGCUAGUGGAGACGAUGGUGAACCAUCUGAUGGAAGUCUCAAAACCUUUAAUGACACUGGAAGGGAUCUUGAUGUUUCAUCUGUAAUUACAGCAUCAAAGGAAGAAAGUGUGAAUGAGAAUAUGGAAGACCAUAAGCUUGCUCUUCCUGCGCAUGCUGCACAGGACGAAAACACCCCUGAACAGAAAGACAAGACGGAAAGAGAGAUGCCUUCAUCAGAGAAGCUCCUUACUACUGAACCAGAAGAGAAUCAAAUUCCCAAUGAAAUAAAUGAAGGGGAGUUACAGGAUGAAAAUCAAAUUCCAAAUGAAAAGAAUGAAGAGGACAUUCAAGAUACAGAAAUUGAAGAUGCUCAGAAUGAUGUUGAACCAGAUUUACCUGUUUCUCAUUUUCUGAUGAAUUUAAUAUUAGGAAAAAAGAACAGUGUUGCAGAUGAAAAUUCAGAACCUGGGGCUGAAGGGAAGCAAGGAGAAACCACAGAAGACAAUACCUGCGUGCUCAUUUCUAAAGAAGAAGAAAGUGUGGGGCCACUUUGCACAGAAAAUAAGGUGGAUGACAAUCUCACCUUUGAACAAGAAAAACAUGAUGCCAAAUGCUCCGAAGAAACACAGGAAAUGGUCAAAGAACAAAGUGAUGAUCUUAAGCUGGACACAGAAAGAUCACUACAUACUGAUGAAGAGUCCAAUAAGAACACUCAAGGCAAUCCCCAAGACAAAAUUUCUGAUGAACUGUUAUCAGAAGAAGCAGCUAGUGUUUCUACAAAUAUGAAAGCGAGAGAUAUUGAGAUUUCGAACUUUGAGCUGGAUGAUAAAGCAGUUGAUACUGUCUGUCAGGAAGACACGGAGGAGUCAACAAAAGUUGAAAAUGGAAGCUUGAAGAGCAACAUAAAUGAUUUAACAAAUACAGAGGCUUCGGAAGAGGAUACUCUAGGGGAACAACAAACAGGACUCUUGCAUGAAUCUUUACCUGAAGAUAAUAGUGCUGAUGCAGUGUCCGCGCCCUUGCUGAUAGAAUCAGGUGUGGUUGAUGCAAAAGAUUCAUCUUAUGAUGCUGAGGCUGCCCAGAACCUUACCUGUGCAAAAGAAGAUGAUCCCACUGAAUCUUCCAUCAUUGAGGCAACAAGUAGUCCUCAUAUUCAACUGGAGUGUGAAGAAGUAGAGAAGAAAGAAGAGGAGCAGCAUGCAAGCAAGGGCACAGAAAACGUUCCCAAAGAAGCUGUAGAAAGUUCAAAUGACAAUCCUCAGAAAAGCACAAGCUCUGAAGUAACACCUCAUGAGCAAGAACCUCAUAUAACGGAACCAGUUAGUGACACUGAGAAGAUUUUGGCUCCUGAAAAGGAAAUUUGUGAAGGCUCAACAUGCAUGGAUGAGAAAGAAAACUCUAACUUCUCAAUUAAAGGAGUAGAAAACUUUCAAACAGCAGUUGAAAUUCAGGCUGACAGUCCAAACAUGCAGAUCAACCAAGAUAAGAAAGAUGAAGUUGCUGACAACAAAACUGCAAUGGGACCAGAAAAGCUAGGGGAAUAUGAUUUUCAGGAGCAGCAGGAAACUGAUAGGAAACAUGAAGUUGCUGACAACAAAACUGCAAUGGGCCCAGAAAAACUAGGGGAAUCUGAUUUUCAGGAGCAGCAGGAAACUGAUACUGAGCGAAAGUCUCCUAAAGUGAGUGAUGAAGGAGACCAGCAAUUUUUGGUCAAAAAAGAGACCAUGAUCAAAGAACAGGUUGUGCCUGGAACAGUUGAAAGCCACGAGCAAACAGUGAGUAUAAAAUCUAACGAAAAGCAAGAACUGUUUGAUUCAAAGGUCCAGGAACGUGAUCUCAAUGUAGUUUCACCCAGAGAAGCUUCUGAGGCUGAAGAAAACUUUGUGGGCGUAACCAAGCCAGAAUUCAGCACAGAUGAAGAGCAAAGUCCAAAGGCUGAUGUAGAUGAGAAAACUUAUGAUGAGAAGAUAAAGGACGUAGAGGGAACUAAGGAUUUCACUGAUGGAGCAGCAACGAAAACUGAAGCACCAGGAGCAACAAAGAAGGCACCUAAAAAACUCAACCUAUUGUCUGGCGUUGGAUCAAAGGUAAAGCACCAACUAGCAAAGGUGAAGAAAGCCAUCGUAGGUAAGCCUGGGAACACAAAACCAGACUCACCAAAGUCAUAGUGAUGCAUUCACCUUAGAGCAUGUAU
rnacentral:lncRNA from 1 species